rnacentral:rRNA from 1 species
UACGUAGGGAGCAAGCGUUGUCCGGAUUUAUUGGGCGUAAAGAGCUCGUAGGCGGCUUGUCGCGUCGUCUGUGAAAUCCCGCGGCUCAACCGCGGGUCUGCAGUCGAUACGGGCAGGCUAGAGUUCGGUAGGGGAGACUGGAAUUCCUGGUGUAGCGGUGAAAUGCGCAGAUAUCAGGAGGAACACCGGUGGCGAAGGCGGAUCUCUGGGCCUUACCUGACGCUGAGGCGCGAAAGCUAGGGGAGCGAACAGG